UCAGAGCGAACGCUGGCGGCGUGCCUAACACAUGCAAGUCGAGCGGGGUUAAGCCUAUGGCAACAUAGGUUUAACCCAGCGGCGGACGGGUGAGUAACACGUAGGUGACCUACCCCUGGGAGUGGGAUAACCACUGGAAACGGUGGCUAAUACCACAUAAAGUCAUGGGCUUGAAGGCCUAUGACCAAAGGCGAAAGCCGCCUGGGGAUGGGCCUGCGGCCUAUCAGGUAGUUGGUAGGGUAAUGGCCUACCAAGCC
rnacentral:rRNA from 1 species